UACGUAGGUGGCAAGCGUUGUCCGGAUUUACUGGGCGUAAAGAGCGCGCAGGCGGUCGUUCAAGUCGCGUGUGAAAGCCCCCGGCUCAACUGGGGAGGGUCACGCGAUACUGAUCGACUCGAAGGCAGGAGAGGGUAGUGGAAUUCCCGGUGUAGUGGUGAAAUGCGUAGAUAUCGGGAGGAACACCAGUGGCGAAGGCGACUACCUGGCCUGUUCUUGACGCUGAGGCGCGAAGCUAGGGAGCAAACGGG
rnacentral:rRNA from 1 species